AUUGAACGCUGGCGGCAUGCCUUACACAUGCAAGUCGAACGCCCCGCAAGGGGAGUGGCAGACGGGUGAGUAACGCGUGGGAACGUGCCCUUCGCUUCGGAAUAGCCCCGGGAAACUGGGAGUAAUACCGAAUACGCCGUAUUGGGAAAGAUUUAUCGGCGAAGGAUCGGCCCGCGUUGGAUUAGCUAGUUGGAGGUGUAAUGAACCCCCAAGGCUACGAUCCAUAGCUGGUCUGAGAGGAUGAUCAGCCACACUGGGACUAAGACACGGCCCAGACUCCUACGAGAGGCAGCAGUGGGGAAUCUUGGACAAUGGGCGCAAGCCUGAUCCAGCCAUGCCGCGUGAGUGAAGAAGGCCUUAGGGUUGUAAAACUCUUUCGCCGGAGAAGAUAAUGACGGUAUCCGGAGAAGAAGCCCCGGCUAACUUCGUGCCAGCAGCCGCGGUAACAC
rnacentral:rRNA from 1 species